AUUGAACGCUGGCGGCAGGCCUAACACAUGCAAGUCGAACGAGUGGCGGACGGGUGAGUAAUGUCUGGGAAACUGCCUGAUGGAGGGGGAUAACUACUGGAAACGGUAGCUAAUACCGCAUACCAUCGGAUGUGCCCAGAUGGGAUUAGCUAGUAGGUGGGGUAAAGGCUCACCUAGGCGACGAUCCCUAGCUGGUCUGAGAGGAUGACCGGACACACUGGAACUUAUACACGGUCCAGGCUCCGACGGGAGGCAGCAGUGGGGAAGAUUGCACAAGGGGCGCAAGCCUGAUGAAGCCAGGCCGCGUGUAUGAAGAAGGCCUUAGGGUUGUAAAGUACUUUCAGCGGGGAGGCGUUACCCGCAGAAGAAGCACCGGCUAACUCCGUGCCAGCAGCCGCGGUAAUUC
rnacentral:rRNA from 1 species